GCUACAUAUCAGGUGAAGAGUCACAUUGUAUUCUGGCAAAGAACAAGAGAAUCUGAGAAGCUACAGUUUCCUUUUUAGGUAAUAGCAACACUUUGGCCCACUGAAAGCAAAGAAAGAAGGCUGCUUUCAUUUUCACUGCUUUUCCUACCCAGAGAGCUGGAGCAGCAAUGGCUGAGAAGAGACCACUGAAAGAUGAUCCGGUCAACAUGGUGAAGUUGAUGGCCAGGAACGUGCUUGAUGGCAUUUUUGAUGAUUUGAUGGAAAAUAAUGUGUUAAAUAGGGGUGAGUUACAAAGAUUAGGGAAAGAAGUGAACCACAUUGUGAACAGGACUGGAGACCUGGUUGAUGAUCUCACUGAGAAAACGCAAAUAGCAGGCAAAAUAUUUAAGGACCAUUUCUUCAACCCCAAGAAACAACUCAGUUUAAGAUCUCAUCCUGAAAAUGAGAGUGAUGAAUCUGAGAGCACUGAAUCAUCUUCUUCGACAGAAUCUGAAGAUGAAAGUGAAAAAAGUGGAGACGAGGAAAAAGUUGAAUCAGCCCAGACACUGGCUCUCCCUCCAACAGAGUAUACAGCCAAGACUUCUGCUUUUCAAAGUCAUAUCGUUCUCAUAAAUCACGGGAGGAAAAGAGGACCUGGAAAUGCUAAAGGAGUCUGUAGAGCUAUGGGAUUCCCUCAAUCUCUACCAACAGUUUUCUAGAAUACUCUGGUUAUCUCUUCAAGAUCAGAUGCAUCAGGAAAACAUCUAUAGAUGCAAUAAUUCUCACAGGACACUGGCUGAACACUAAGAGAAGACCUUGGACACUGGAAAGAUCCCUGCAUAACUGGACUGCUGGCUACUUUGAAGGACCCAGGAUCAGUAAUUGUUCUUUGUUGCUGCUACAGACAUCAAUAGAGGCACAUUUCAACAGAAAAAAAAAAAUGAAUUUAUCAAAAGGAUGCUACACAACUCACUGAAACCCCAGGAAAUCCUGAUAACUGGGACUGGAAAAUUGAGGAGGAACAAGGACCAUGGUCAAAAUCAAUAACCCUUGUCCAAUCAGAAAACAGUUGCAAUUGCCACAGAGCAUAGGCACCCUGGGAUACAGUGCCUCCAUUGUUAAUGCUGAAAACUGGACACUGUUCUUUGCUGCCUCUAGACCUUGAGGGUUUGCCCCUACUAUUAAUGCUGUACACUGGUAUAAUGGGUUCUUUGUCCUUGUCUCUCAAUUCCAAAUCCAGAGUUGGUGAGUUGGAUUGACAGAAUGAUGUGAGAAAACUAUCUGGCAUUUUAAGCUUCCACUAAUACUCAACAGAGAAGAGGAACUCAAAAUUUCAUCAGUUACUGCAUCCAGCCAGAGCACCAGUAUCUCUCAAGAAAUAUAUACUACUCCUUUUCUUCUGACUUCAACAUGCCUUCAUAUUUUGUAACUAUGGAAUUCUCACUACAAAUAUGCCCUGUAGAAAACAGUAAGAGGGAUGAAACUGAAAGAAAAUGAAAGGAGGAAUAAAACAAAGGACUUUGUUUUUCAUCUCUUUGGGAUCUUUUACUUAUUGAAGUGGCUGGAGUGACUGAAACUUCUUCAGCUCAUUAAAAAUGUGCUCCACCUGUCUAUUGCCCAAGUCUGUGGAUUUCUCCCUUCACUUUAAACAAAAAUGUUUCUGUCAUUUGAAUAUUCAUCAAUGUGCCAUUGGAUCUAGUUUCAGUUAACUAAGCAAUCACAAAAGCUCCAGGGAGCUUCAAUUAUUGUACCAAUGUAUAAUCUUUGAUAACCUUGUUAAAUUUUGUGAUGAAUGCAGAGUUUAUGCUGUUGCUUUGUGGAGACUUUUGAGAGUAUGCUGGUAAAAGAGAGACUGAAAUAGCCUGAAGAGCGUUCAAGAUCAAAUCCAAGUGACUGGGUUUUCUUUUGGCACCUGAAAUUACAGAAUUGGGAUGGUUGGAAUAAAAAAAAAAAAAAAAAAACUAAAAAUGAUCAUCAGCUUCCAUUAUCUCUACUUGAGAUCAAUUAUACAGCUACCUAAAUUUAUAAUUGCUUUUUGGAAAGUGAAAUUUUUGAAGUGCUCAUGUCAUGGUCCAGAUUGUUUUCAACAGCAAUUAACUGGUCUGCAUAAUGUAAAGAUACUUUUAGAGAUAAGGCAUAUAGUGUCCAUGAGUUCUUUUUUCCUUUUUUUCUCAGGCCAGCAAUGAGCAUCAAGUAGAAUGUCUUUCUCCAUAGUAAUUGCUUAUGUGUUGAUAACAGUUUAUCAGCUGAUUCCCUCAUUGUCUCAGUAAAAUUGGGCUAUGUGUUAAGUCUUAAUGAUUUUUUUUUGCUUUGUGUCAAUCAUUUCCCCAGCGGUUUGAAGUCAGCAACAAUAGAAUUUUGUAGUUCACAGCAAAAGACUCCUGAUUAUCUGCAGAAGCUCCAUGAUCUGUCUUCAAUUCUCUGUUUCUCAGCUCCUUCACUAAAUCAUCUUACUCCUCUAUUGUGACCUUAUUCAGCUUUUCAAAUAUAUUCAGCACUUUCUUCUGUGUCAACACAAUACUUACUGGCAUGCCAUGCUGGUUGUGAUUACCAACGCACUGAAAAAGUUAAUUUUCUGAUUUUCUUUCAAAAUUAUUAUGCCAUAUAUAAAUAACAUGUUGAAAUUUUCCAGCACCAACCACAUUUUAUAAUUAUUAUUUAUUUUAUCAUGGAGAGAAACAACUCACAUGCACAGUAGAUGAGCAUAUGUACACAGUCAUUAUUAUGUCUUUUAUGUAGUCACACUUUACUACUUAUAAAUUUUCUUCUAAUGUAUCAAUUUUUACUGCCUCUUAGGCACACUUACUUUCUUCACAGUCUUCCUUAGAAUGCUUUUAAAACUUACUUAAGAGGGGAAAAUGAUAGCAAAAAUAUACAACAUAUUUUUGAAAAUGCAAACAUGGUACAAAAACCUAUAGAAAAAAUUGCAUAGAUAAGACUACAUCAUAUUCUACACCUUUCACAUUGAUACUCAUGCAACUGAAAUGUUUUUACUGACACCUACAUGUAGGUUUGCUAUACCAAGUUUUCAAUUUAGAUAGUGAAUAUUGUUUAGAUUUACUUGAAAGGUAUUCCAACAUGUAUUCAGAUGACUAGAGUUCAGAUAGCAAGUAAUUCUUUUGUUUUUUCUAUUGCAUGCUAAACAUGAACAGAAUUCUUUCCCCGAAUACUAGUUGAGUUUUUCAUUUCAGCCCUGUCUAGAAAAUUAACUGAUCACUUAAUUAAGCGAUCACUCUCCAUACCAGUUAAGGUCCCCUUUUUCAUGCAAAAAGACAAACUGGAUAAUUUAAGCAGAGUAUUUGUGAAGGGAAUAAUGGGUAGUACACAAAAAAAGGAAGGCUAGUGAAUCAGGUCAGGAAAAUGGCCAGGAAGAGGUGAAACUAUAUAGCUGCUAGCAACAGACCAAAUGCCACAUCGAAUAUCAGCUCCAUGAGAAGAGUUCUACUGCUGCUGCAGCUGCUGAGCACCACACAGGCCAGCUUGUACUUCAACACUAUACUCUGUGCAUGUACCAUGUUGCUUUUACUGUUGCUGCCCCAUGCCUGGAACCUGGAUAAUGUUGCUACUGUUGCUGUAAUUGAUGUUUCAUGGCCUCUGCCCUAAAUUAACUAAAUCCCAAUUCAAAGUCCAAGAUGGUGUAAACUGAUUAAAGAAGCAAGGUCACA